CCUACGGGAGGCUGCAGUGGGGAAUAUUGGACAAUGGGGGCAACCCUGAUCCAGCCAUGCCGCGUGUGUGAAGAAGGCCCUCGGGUUGUAAAGCACUUUCAGUGAGGAAGAACGCCUGGUGGUUAAUACCCAUCAGGAAAGACAUCACUCACAGAAGAAGCACCGGCUAACUCCGUGCCAGCAGCCGCGGUAAUACGGAGGGUGCGGGCGUUAAUCGGAAUUACUGGGCGUAAAGCGCGCGUAGGUGGCUUGAUAAGCCGGUUGUGAAAGCCCCGGGCUCAACCUGGGAACGGCAUCCGGAACUGUCAAGCUAGAGUGCAGGGGAGGAAGGUAGAAUUCGCGGUGUAGCGGUGAAAUGCGUAGAGAUCGGGAGGAAUACCAGUGGCGAAGGCGGCCUUCUGGACUGACACUGACACUGAGGUGCGAAAGCGUGGGUAGCAAACAGGAUUAGAUACCCUUGUAGUC
rnacentral:rRNA from 1 species